rnacentral:rRNA from 1 species
AGAGUUUGAUCCUGGCUCAGAUUGAACGCUGGCGGAAUGCCUAACACACGCAAGUCGAACGGGGGUAGCAAUACUCCAGUGGCGGACGGGUGAGGAACACAUAGGAACCUGCCUUUAGGCGGGGGAUAGCUUGGGGAAACUCAAGGUAAUACCGCAUGAUCUCUAACGAGCAAAGGGGCGCAAGUCUCACCUUUAGAGGGGCCUAUGUCUGAUUAGCUAGUUGGUAGGGUAAUGGCCUACCAAGGCG